rnacentral:rRNA from 1 species
UUUGGUCAAGCUAAUAAGGGCAUACGGUGGAUGCCUUGGUACAGAGAGGCGAUGAAGGACGUGGUAAGCUGCGAUAAGCCUCGGGGAGGUGCAAACAACCUUUGAUCCGAGGAUUUCCGAAUGGGGCAACCCGAUGCGGGUCAUGCCGCAUCACCCCCGGGUGAAUAUAUAGCUCGGGUGGGGCUAACGGGGUGAACUGAAACAUCUAAGUAACCCCUGGAAUAGAAAGCAACCGCGAUUUCCUCAGUAGUGGCGAGCGAAAGGGAAAUAGCCCAAACCGGUUCGCAUGUUAAAACCUGCAUGUGUUGUGCGACCGGGGUUGUGGGGUGAGAUCUGAUAGAGAUGCAGAUCUGUCAGGGAGUUACAAAUUUGCAAUGUAGCCAAACAGUUCUGGAAAGUCUGGCCGCAGAAGGUGAAAGCCCUGUAGGCGAAACAUUGCAAACUCCUGUGAUCUCAUUCCCGAGUACUGCGGGACACGUGAAAUCCUGUAGGAAUCUGGGAGGACCACCUCCCAAGGCUAAAUACUCCUCUGUGACCGAUAGUGAACUAGUACCGUGAGGGAAAGGUGAAAAGUACUCCUGAAUGGAGAGUGAAAUAGAACCUGAAACCGUUUGCUUACAAGCGGUCGGAGGACAAACCGCGAUCUUCGGAUCUCGGGGAGUCUGACGGCGUGCCUUUUGCAUAAUGAGCCGGUGAGUUACUCCUGAGUUGCAAGGUUAACCUACUUUGUAGGGAAGCCGUAGCGAAAGCGAGUCUGAAUAGGGCGAUACAGUAGCUUGGGGUAGACCCGAAGCCAGGUGAUCUACCCAUGGCCAGGAUGAAGCGUGAUUAACCUCACGUGGAGGUCCGAACCCACCAAUGUUGAAAAAUUGGGGGAUGAGCUGUGGGUAGGGGUGAAAGGCCAAUCAAACCUGGAGAUAGCUGGUUCUCCUCGAAAUAGCUUUUGGGCUAGCCUCUUGUUAUAGAGUGGCGGAGGUAGAGCACUGGAUAGGCUCGGGGGCUUCACCGCUUACCAACCCUAACCAAACUCCGAAUGCCGCACACUUGUUCCAAGGGAGUCAGCGCAUGGGGGAUAAGCUUCAUGUGCGAGAGGGAAACAACCCAGACCACCAGCUAAGGUCCCUAAGUACAGGCUAAGUGAUAAAGGAUGUGGGAGUGCGUAGACAGCCAGGAUGUUGGCUUAGAAGCAGCCAUUCAUUUAAAGAGUGCGUAACAGCUCACUGGUCAAGUGAACCUGCGCCGAUAAUGAUCGGGACUAAAGCCUGUCACCGAAGCUGUGGGCUUCAACUUUUGUUGGAGCGGUAGAGGAGUAUUCUAUUGUAGGCUGAAGGCAGACUGUGAAGUCUGCUGGACGACGUGGAAGCAAUCAUGCCGGCAUGAGUAGCGAUAAAACAGGUGAGAAUCCUGUUCACCGAAAGUCUAAGGUUUCCUGGGGAAGGUUCGUCCGCCCAGGGUUAGUCGGACCCUAAGCCGAGGCCGAAAGGCGUAGGCGAUGGGAAACAGGUCAAAAUUCCUGUACCACCUUAGAGACGUUUGAACUAUGGGGUAACGCAGAAGUGACGAUCAGCCCGCGACUGGAAAUGCGGGUCUAAGCCUGUAGGGGGAUCACCAGGGAAAAUACGGGUGAUCACAACCCUGAGAGGUGAUGGGGAAACGAGCCUUCGGGCAAGCCAACUGGUCUUAAUCAUGCUGCCGAGAAAAACCUCUAUGUGAGUCUCUCGGGUGUCCGUACCGCAAACCGACACAGGUAGACGGGGUGAGAAUCCUAAGGUGCGCGAGAGAACCCCUGUUAAGGAACUAGGCAAAAUGGCUCCGUAACUUCGGGAGAAGGAGUGCCUCCAAGUAGGUGAACGGACUUGCUCCGGGAGCUGAAGGGGGCCGCAGAGAAACGGCCUGGGCGACUGUUUACUAAAAACACAGGUCUCUGCUAAGUCGCAAGACGACGUAUAGGGACUGACACCUGCCCGGUGCCAGUAGGUCAAGAGGAAAGGUUAGUCUUCGGACGAAGCUUUGAAUCGAAGCUCUGGUAAACGGCGGCCGUAACUAUAACGGUCCUAAGGUAGCGAAAUUCCUUGUCGGCUAAAUACCGACCUGCACGAAUGGUGUAACGACUUGGGCGCUGUCUCAACAGGGGACUCGGCGAAAUUGUAGUUCCGGUGAAGAUGCCGGAUACCCGCGACGGGACGGAAAGACCCCAUGAACCUUUACUCCAGCCUGGUACUGGGUUUCGACUCAGUAUGUGCAGGAUAGGUGGGAGACUGUGAAGCGGGAACGUCAGUUCUCGUGGAGUCGCCCUUGAAAUACCACCCUUAUUGUGUUGGAAUUCUAACCUCGAUCCUUGAAUCAGGAUUGGGAACACUGCCAGGUGGGAAGUUUGGCUGGGGCGGCCGCCUCCCAAAAGAUAACGGAGGCGCCCAAAGGUUCCCUCAGCGCGGUUGGUAAUCGCGCGAAGAGUGUAAAGGCAUAAGGGAGCUUAACUGCGAGACAUACAGGUCGAGCAGAUGCGAAAGCAGGGCUUAGUGACCCGGCGGUUGCGCGUGGAAGCGCCGGAGAUCAACGGAUAAAAGGUACUCUGGGGAUAACAGGCUUAUCUCCCCCAAGCGUACAUAGCGACGGGGAGGUUUGGCACCUCGAUGUCGGCUCAUCACAUCCUGGGGCUGGACAAGGUCCCAAGGGUUUCCCUGUUCGGGAAUUAAAGUCGGUACGCGAGCUGGGUUUAGAACGUCGUGAGACAGUUCGGUCCCUAUCUGUCGUGGGCGCAGGAUAUUUGAGGAGAGCUGUCCCUAGUACGAGAGGACCGGGAUGGACGAACCUCUAGUGUACCAGUUGUCUCGCCAGGGGCAUUGCUGGGUAGCUAUGUUCGGAAGGGAUAAGCGCUGAAAGCAUCUAAGUGCGAAGCCCACUCCAAGAUGAGAUAUCCCGUGGGAUAACCCACCUAAAGGCUCCUUGUAGACUACAAGGUCGAUAGGUCACAGGUGUAAGCGCAGCAAUGCGUUCAGCCGAGUGAUACUAAUCAGCCGUGAGGCUUGACCUU